UACCGAGGUGGCAAGCGUUGUUCGGAAUUACUGGGCGUAAAGGGUGCGUAGGCGGCCUUGUAAGUCCUGUGUGAAAUCCCCCGGCUCAACUGGGGAACUGCACAGGAGACUGCUUGGCUUGAGUUCGGGAGAGGGAAGCGGAAUUCCGGGUGUAGCGGUGAAAUGCGUAGAUAUCCGGAGGAACACCGGUGGCGAAGGCGGCUUCCUGGACCGACACUGACGCUGAGGCGCGAAAGCCAGGGGAGCAAACGGG
rnacentral:rRNA from 1 species